AUUUUGUGGUGUGGGCAACUAGAACACAAAUUCUUGAAUAUCUCCCAUUAUUCAUAGAGACUCUCCCCAAACUGUUGCUUGAUGCCAUGAAUCUCCUUUCUUAUGGU